AUGUUUGCUGUGGCACCGCAUCCCCCGUUCAAGAGGAAAAAAAAAAGGGCAAACACGCUCCGCGAGAGCAUCUCCGGUUGCUUGCACAAACGAAGGUUUCCAGCACAGGGCGUGGGGUUUGGGGGGGGGGGGGCGGGGGGGGGGGAGAGAUCAGGGCUCGAAAAUAAGCCAGGAGAAGCCCGCAGCCGCGGAGACAGCGCCCGAGGGAUGGAGGCCUCGCCCGGCAGUGCCCGGGGCGGAGGGAGGCGGGGUGGGGGGGGGGGGGCUCCGGGAGCCGAGACCCCGCGGGGUCUGGCGGAGGGGCCCCCGAUCGGUCCCGGAUCCCUGGACCGCCAGGUUACGCCCCCACUGCUUAAACGCGUUAACGUCCAGCCCUCGCCUCCCUCACCCCCGAAACACCCCCAGCAUCGCUCCCCACAGCCCGCAGCCCUUGACCCCGACGCCGACCGGACCGCGACGGCGCCCUCUCCAGGCCGCGGUGGAGGACACAGGCCAGGCCGCCAGCCCCGCAGCGGCGGCGGCGGCGGCCCCGGGCAGCGCGAUCCCGGGGGAGGAUGGCAGCUGGGCUGGGGCCUGUCCCCCCUCCCCGCCCCCAGGGGCAGCGUGCGCAGGGCCGCGAGUGGGCAGCGCCUCCGCCCCGCACGAACAAAGCGGCCGCGGCGAGCGGGGCGGGGGGGUCGGGGGGCACUCACCGGAGGGCGGGUGGGCGCGGGCUGGCCCGGCCGGGAGCGGGGACCGUGGCGGGCCGGGGGGCGCGCUGGCGACGGGGAGGGGGCGGCAGGCGCGGCGUCCACGGCGGGGCCCGGGAGCCCCGCGGUGCGGGGGGGAGAUGGGGCUGCGGGCCGCGAUCGAGGCUGCGGCCACGGGGUGCGGGAGCCGGUCGGCCGGGGCCGUGCAGCGAGCGGCGCUAGGCGGCCGGGGCAGCGACGCCGCCGCCACCGCCUCCUCUUCCUUCUCCGGCCCCGCUCCCUGCUCCCCCGCGUCGUUCUCCUCCUCCUCGCUGGGUCCCCGCCGCCGCCGCCGCCGCCGCCUCAGCUUCGGCGCUUCUCGGUCUUCUCCUCUCCAUCAAGGCCGGGCCGCCCCGCAGGGACCAUCCCGGGAAGUGAGGGGCUGUUGCCGUUCCCCGCAGCGGUUGGUGGCCAUCUUUAA
rnacentral:lncRNA from 1 species